CAUGGAUGGGGAAACUAGGGAAGGAAAUGACAUUUGAAAUGUAAAUAAAACAUACCCAAUUUACAAAAAGGAAUAGUGAUGGAGCUGCAGGUUGAGAAGACUCCUUUAGAAGAUGAUAGAAACCUGAGUUUUGGAAAAUGAGGAGAGCUGGCUGAGUGAGGAGAGGGGAGAGGGAGAUGAUCUCAACCAGACAUGCUCUAAUCAUCAUGAAAUAAGAUUUUAUUCUUCAGCUGGAAUUACUUAAUCCUAAACAUGCUAUGAGUACUUCCUGAUGGUUCCCCUCAGUUUUAAAGAAUUAGAUAUUAAGCAAACUCCACUUUAUCUAAGUGAAAUUUUUUUACAGGUUUCAAUAGAUGGGAUACUCUGUUCAUCCUGUGGAAUCUAUAGACUGGAAAUGUGGGAGAGAACAAAUACAUCUAAACACAUCAUAAAUAAGGUUUCCAUUACCAUCCUGAACAAGGUAUUUAUAAAUAAGGUCUUAAUGAAUCCUUGGAAAUUAUUCACUGAUAUUACUUUUUUUUAAGGAUUUACUUAUUUAUCAUCUAUAAGUACACUGUCAUUGUCAUCACACACAUCAGAAGAGGGCAUCAGAUCCCAUUACAGAUGGUUGUGAGCCACCAUGUGGUUGCUGGGAAUUGAACUCAGGACCUCUGGAAAAGCAGUCAGUGCUCUUAACCACUGAGCCACAUCUCCAGCCCAUUCACUGAUAUUUCUAUGUGCAAGAGAAACAUAUAGUUAGUCGUAAAGUCUGCCCAAAGUGACAAGGACAGUAGGUGAAAGACCUGUAUUUGUCUAAUCUGAAAGCUUUGAUUGAGGAAAUGAAAACAAAAACAGUAAAAAAUAAAAAUAAAAAUAAAAAAGGAAAUUAGUGUUGUUGGACAGAGGACGGGAUCCCUCAACUCCUGUAUUUAUUGAGAACCUACUGUGACAAGCUAGCCUGGGCAUGGUAGAGUACACCUUUAACCUCUUCACUCUGAAGGCUGAGGAAAGUUUAUCUCUGGGUUUGCGGCCAGUCAUCUCUACAGAGCAAGUACUAGGACAGCCAAGGCUAAGCAGUGGAACUGACUUCCUCUCACACCAGGCAAAGACAUGGUGCAAAGACAUGACAUGCAUCCAAACAAAUACACACAUAAAAGAGGAGACCUGUACUGAGGACCGGAGGCAGCGAUGGUCACAGGACUUGAUGCAUUGGUAGAAGACAUAGGUUAAGUUCCUAACACCCGAAUACCUAUAAACAGGCACACAAAUGAAGCCAGCUGAGUAGUGGACCCACACCUUUAAUCCAACACAGGAAUGACUGAGGCAGGAGGACCUCUGUGAAUCAAGGCCAGCCUGGUCUACAGAGUGAGUUCCAAGACAGUCAGGGCUACACAGAAACCCUGUCAGGAAUGUAAAAACAAAAUGGGGAACAGGAGAAAAAUACAGAGGAAGCAGAGGAAAAGCAGGAGGAGGAAAAGCAGGAGGAGGAAAAGCAGGAGGAGGAAAAGCAGGAGGAGGAGGAAGCAGAGGCCUGUGCAACAUAAGCUACAAAAAGAGCUGCAAAUCUUCUCUAGGCAGCUGUGAAUUAGACUGCAUUGUCUGGUGCAUGGCCCACCGGAACAGAAAGGGAGAAAUCUGUCCGUGAGGUUGUUUCAACUCCCCCACCCCAACCUGACAAAGUUAGAGUAAUUUUGGUGAGAGAAUGACUGGCAGACAAGCAAACCUGUGGGCCAUUUCUUCAUUAAUACUGGAAGUGGGUGGGCUUAGCUUGGUGUGAGAGGAGCCAGUGCAACCUCUGGGCAGGUGGUCCUGAGUUUUACAGGACAGUAGGUUGAGCAAGCUAUGAGAAGGAAGCCAGUAAUAGCAUUUCUUUGUGGCCUGCUUCAGUUUGGGUGUCCUUGGGUUCCUGCCUUGACUUCCUGACUUGUUUUCUCUUCAUGAAGGACUACAAUUGUGAGAUGAUAAACCCUUCCUCCAUGGGUUGAUUUUGUCAUGGUGUGUUAUUACCACACAUCAUAGCAAUUGAACCUAGCCAAGAGAGACACCCACCCCUGUUCACAAAUCAGUCCCUCCUUGGUCUGUGUGGAGUCAGAGCUCAGGUUCCAAAUCUAGGCAAAAUGUAACGCAAAACCCAUGAUGCACUUCCCAGGAUUCUCCCCAAUAGAUGGUAAGUUAGUUCGAUCUUCCUGGCUUCAAAUUGGAGUGCCCAUGGAUAACACAACUCAGAGGCACAAACCAGGGCCAUUCCUCUUUAAUGAACCACACAUUUGCGAAGGCCAAGGAGGCUCAGGAGCAGCCAUCCUAGUUCCUAUUACAUCUGCACAAGAAAGGACACUCUUGGGAUUCUUUGAAUCUAGAGCAGGAGACAUGAUUUCAGGACAGAAGAGUACUUAACAACACUUCUCAGGAAUAUAAAAGAGGGAAAAUAAGACUGAGAGAGUCACAUACAGCAGCAAUCCCGGACUAUACUCUUCUCAGUCUGUCUGAGGCAGAGAUCACACUGCAGACUGGGCCCUGACUGGGAAGUGAUUGGAAAAGGAUGGUAGACAAGGCUAGCUCUGGGCUCUCUGUGUUUGCCACAUUUGUGAAGAGGGAGGAAUUGCAUACCCAGCCAGCUCAAGUGCGGUGUCAUAGGCACCCAGUGGCACUGAUCAUACCUAGCUAUCCUGAUGAAAUGUACUCAGAAGGGAGUUGUCAUUGAGGUCAGUAUGAAAUAACAAACCUCAAGGGAGAGCCCAUCAUCUGUGCAGCCAUAUGAACACCAGUGUGGUCCUGCCUUGAGAGAGAAGAUUUAUAAAGGACCUGACUUCUACAAGGACAAGCUACAGGUUAUACAAUCCCAAGUAACCGCAGUCAAUACACACACACACACACACACACACACACACACACACACACACAUACCUUGUUUCUUCUCUUUCUAUGCCUGCAAAAUAACAAACAAAAACAGUUAUCCUGUGCAUGAGAUAUGGCCCAAUGAUUAAGAGCACUGAGUGCUUUUCCAAAGGUCCUGAGUUCAAUUCCCAUCGACCACAUGGUGGCUCACAAUCAUCUGGAACAGGAUCUGAUGACCUCUUCUGGUGUGUCAUACAAACCCCUUGUAUCUCGUCAGACCACCAUGGAUUUAAAUCUGCACUUCAGAGAAGAGAAACAGAAAGCCUACACACUCUUGGAAUCAGAACAACUCUCUACUCAAUGGUCUGUGGGUCAGGGUAGAAAUACAGAAAGAAAUUAAAGACUUUCUAGAAUUUAAUCAAAAUGAAGUCAACACCUACCCAAAUUAAUGACAAAAAAGUGGUCCUAAGAGGAAAGUUCAUAAUAAUUUGCCUACAUAAAAGAAUCAGAAAGUCCCCAUAUCAGAAAUUAAAAAGUCAUAUUAGAGUUCUCUAGAGUCACAGAACUUGUGGAAUGUCUUUAUAUAUUAAGGGAAUUAAUUACAAUGACUUACAAUCAGUAUUCCAACUAACCCAACAAUGGGCAGCUGUGAUGGGAAAUCCAAAAGUCCAGCAGUUUCAGCUGGUCUUCUGGAGAAGCUGCAAUCCUGGCCAGAUAGGUUCCAACAGAUGUGCUCGCAAGUAAGUGCAAGCAGGCAAAGAGUGAAUCCUCCUUCUUCCAAUGUCUUCAUAUAGGUCUCUAGCAGACAGUGUGGCUCAGAUUAAAGGUGUGUAACCCCAUGCCUGGAUCUGGAACUUCAUUUUGUCAGAAGUUGAUCUUAAACUCAGAAAUCUGACUGCCUCAGACUCCUAGGAUUAAAGCUGUGUACUACUUUGCCUGUGGCUAACCUUUUCAAGGCCACUAUCCUUCCAGAACUCCCUGUUGAGAUCUGGGGCACAGGUGUGCCCUCAUUACCAGAUGUAGUUUAUUCCAGAUGUAGUCAAGUUGACAGCCAGGAGUAGCUAUCACAAAGUACACCUGAAAGUUCUAGGGAAAAAAGGAAGAAGCAAACUCACAAAAGGGGAGAAAAUGCAGGAAAUUAUAGAAACCAUGGCUGGAAUCAAUCAGUUAGAAAGAAAGAAAACAAUUCAAAGAAUCAACCAAACCAAGACCUGGUUCUUUGAGAAAAUCAACAAGAUAAACAAACCCUUAGCCAAACUAACUGAUAGCUAGAUAGAUAGAUAGAUAGAUAGAUAGAUAGAUAGAUAGAUAGAUAGAUAGAUAGAUACAUAGAUAGAUACAUAGAUAGAUACAUAGAUAGAUACAUAGAUAGAUACAUAGAUAGAUACAUAGAUAGAUAGAUACAUAAUAGAUAGAUAAAUAGAUAGAUAGAUAGAUAGAUACAUAGAUAGAUAGAUACAUAGAUAGAUAGAUAGAUAGAUACAUAGAUAGAUAGAUACAUAGAUAGACAGACAGAUAGAGAAUCCACAUUAACAAAACCAGUAAGGAGAAGGGAGGCUCAGCAACUGACACUGAGGGACUUCAUAGAAUCAGUAGAUUUUACUUCAAAAACUUCUACUCCACGAAAUUGGAAAAUCUGAACGAAAUGGAACCUUUUCUAGAUAGAUACCACUUACCAAAGUUAAAUCAAGUUCAGGUAAACCAUUUGAACAGCCCCACAACCCUUGAAGAAGAAGUAGCAGUCAUUAAAAUCUCCCAACCAAAAAGGCACAGGGCCAGAUGGUUUUGUUAGAGAAUUCUACCAGAUUUUCUAAGGAAAGCUAAUUUCAAUACUCCUCAAAUUAUUCCAUAAAAUAAAAGCUGAAGGAACACUGCCAAACUCAUUCAGAGAGGGCACAGUGACCGUGAUGUCUAAACUACACUAAGCCGCCACAAAGAAAGAGAACGUCAGACCAAUUCCUCUCAUGAACGUUGAUACCAAAAUACUCAAUAAAGUCCUCACAGACUGAAUCCAGGAACAUAUCAAAAAAUCAUCAGGAUGAAGGAAGCUUCAUCCCAUGCAUGCAUCGAUGAUUCCUUAUAUGAAAAUUCAUCAACACAGCCCAUGAUAAAGACAAACUGAGAGUAAACAUAUCACGUGGUUAUCUCAUUAGAUGCUAAAAAGAGCUUUGAUAAAAACCCAACACCCCUUCAUGGUAAAAAUAUUAGAGAAAUCAGGGAUACAGGGCACAUAUGUAAACACAAUCAAAACAAUAUACAACAAGCCAAUAGCCAACAUCAAACUAAAGGGAGAGAAACUGUCAGAAACCACCCAGGGAGAGUGCAUCAGUAGGGGCCAAGGCUUGGAUUUUAGGUGGAGAAUGGAUUUGGCUUGACAGGCAGACACAAAUCUGAGAUAUGUGUUGUUGUAAAAAGUUUUAUUUUUUUGGCACAGACUUAUAUGGUCAAAACAGGAAUAUCAUACUUGGCGAUAUUUAUUACCCCAUCAGAUGUCUCUUGUACAAAGGAAACUGAGCAUACAGUCUAGGAGUUUUUAGUCGCAGAUAAUAGUGUAGAAGACUGUGGUUAUAAUGUCGGACUUGUGGGCAUCAGAUGUACAUUCAAUACUUACCUUUGUUUGGAUAAAGUUUAAACUUUAUGUUUAUGGCCCCUCAGGAUAAUUUGGAAACUUUUGUAACCAUUUCAUGGUUUUCUUCAUUUCCUAUGGUCUUCUAAAAAGAUUAGACCACCUUCUCUUAGACAAAGCAAUCGUUCUAUACACAGCCUAUUGAUUCUCAAGCCUCUCUUCUUGUGAGAGCGCCCACCACAGAGGUCAAGUCCUCCUAAGUCUUUCCCAGUAACCAAGCUCAAUAUACUUUGUCUUCUUACUGUUUACCACUACUCACCUUGUCAAAUCUAUGUCAUAAGUCCCCAUCCGUGGGAAUGGUGCAUCUGUAGGUUUAUAAUAAUAAGGAUCUCUAUAUCUAGGGGCCUGCCACCAUUGUCCACUAAUUUUAAUAAACAAGACUCCAUUCUCCAGUUUAGUCUCUAACCCUAAUUUUUGUAAUUACUUUUUGUUCAAUGAUAGUUCUUCUUUUUCUUUUAGUUAAUUCUUGAUAACUUUGCUCAACUCGCUGAACCUGUCUUUCCAAAAAAGUCACUACUAUUCUGAAUCAUGCUAAACAAAACUUUUCCCAAAAAGGGGGAAAAGACUUUUUGGAACAGUCAUGCUCUUAAUAGCUUUAAUUAACUUCUCUCCUAUUUAUUGAGAACUAAUGGGUGCAGCAGUUGAUGGUGUGAGAUGUUUCCGUCUCUGGACUUGUAGUUCCUGGAACAUCUAAAGAUACAUGACCAUCUUUCCACACUGCUAUAUUCUUAGAUUUAGAUAUUGUUGACAGGCUUAAAGUUGUUGAGAUCACCAAGGCCAGAACAUAGAAGGUACCUCCACUGAAAGCAUAGACCCAGGUCAUCAUCUUUUUGUAGGGAGACUCCAGGACCUCCAGGAGGCCGAGCCAUUCCAGGCACAGGCCUCUGUUCUGGACAGAAACGAAACACUAAGAACUUCAUGUCACAAGACUCCACUGGAGUGGGUGUGGCAAGAAAUUUAAACCAUUUCCAUUAAAAUCAGGGAGGAGACAAGGCUGCCCACUCUGUCCCUAUCUCUUCAAUGAUAUAAUAGAGCUUCUACACAGAACAAUAACACAACUAAAAGAGAUCAAGAGGACACACAUAAAAGGAAGAAGUCAAAGCAUUGCUAUUUGUGGAUGACCCCCAAAAUUUGUAGAACUCCUACAGCUGAUAACAACUUAAGGAAAGUGUCUAGAUUCAAAAUUAACAAAAAACAAACAAACAAACAAACAAAAACCCAAAAGACCAGAAGCCCUCAUGAGAAAUAGGCCAAUGAAGAAAUUAGAGAAAUGUCACACUUUAAAAUAACCAGGAAUAAUAUAAAAUAUCUUGGUGUAAUUCUAAGCAACCAAGUAAAAGAUCUGUAUGACAAGAACCUCAAGUCCCAGAAGAAAGAACUUGAACACGAUAUCUGAAGAUGCAGAGAUCUCCCAUGCUCAUGGAGAUAUAGGAUUCACAUAGUGAAACUGGCCAUCUUACCAAAAGCAAUCUACACAUUCAUGCAAUCCCCAUCAAAAUUCCAACAAAAUUCUUAUAGAACCUGAAAGAGCAAUUCUCAACUUCAUUUGGAAAAACAAAAAACCCAGGAUAGUCAAAAGAAUCCUGAACAAUAAAAGAAUUUUGGGAGGAAUCACCAUCCCUGACCUCAAUCUGUGCUACUGGGUAAUAGAGAUAAAACCCCACAGGGUAUAAGAAUUAAAGAACCAGAAAUAAACCACACAUCUAUGGACAUUGGGUAUUGAUAAAAAAGCCAAAACCAUUCAAUGGAAAACAAUCAAAGCAUCUACAAAAAAUGGUGUUGGCUAACUGGAUGUCCACCUGUAGAUGAAUGAAAAUAGAUCCAUAUUUGUUAUCCUGCACACAACUAUAGUCCAAGGACCUCAAUAUAAAAUUGGAUGCACUAAGUCUCAUAGAAGAGAUAGUGGGAAAUACCCUUGAAAGCAUUGCUACAGGAGACAAGUUCCUGAAUGGAAUACCAAGGACUCAGAAUCCAAGAUCAACAAUUGAUAAAUGGGACUUCAUGAAACUGAAAAGCUUUGUAAGGCAAAGGACACUGUCAAUAGAACAAAUCGGUAGCCCACAGAUUAGGAAAGGAUCUUCAACACUCUUCAUCUGACAGAGGGCUAACGUCAAAAAUGGAGAAGUAACAUAAGAAGUUAGACUCCAGCAACCCAAGUAAUUGAACAAAAAAUGUGGUACAGAACUAAACCGACAGUUAUCAACAGAGGAAUCUCCAAUGGUCCAGGUGAGCCUGGGAUGCAGGCACCCGUGGUCUCCACGUCCGGAUACAGCUUGUAAGAUUGAUUUCUGUGUUUCUCCAACUGACUCAAGUGGACAAAGUACCAGGAUUUUCCUGCCUUAGGCAAUCUCCGUACCGCUCAUCCUUACUGUAUCCUUCUUGUCUAACGACGGUUCCAGUCAUCCUGGAUGUGAAGAUGAAUCAGCUGGUCAUCUCCUGCUUCUGUGUAAGCGCGCAUCCAGAGGCUCAGCGUUUCUGGUCCUGGGUGGUGGGAAGUGCUUCAGCAGAGCCAGGGCAGAGACUUCUGGGCAGAGUGGAUUUGUGUGUGAAAAUAGACUUCUGAGUCUCUUGGGCUGAAUGUUUGGAAUGUACUGAGGUCUUUUAGCCUAGGCCUUAGCCUGUACACUUCUCCUACCAGAGCCCUGAUCUACAGUGCAGACUCUUCUUGGUGCUUCAAGGUCCACACAGUACCAGUUGGUCUGCAGAUCUUUUUCCGGCUAAUGGCUUCAAUAUGUCCUCUGUCGUGGCAAAGUUUGGGUUUGGUUCUAGGAAUGAUAGAAAUUUUAUUGUCUUCUCUGAGCUUUCUUAGAGAUUUUAGUCCCUGCCACUAUUUGUGUUGGGCUGGGUAAAGAAGAUGUUGUCAAUAGCAAUGAGGGUUCAGCCCUCUCUUCCCCGUGUAAAAUAUUUUUAAGUGCAGAGCUGGCUGGCUGCCAGGCUGUAGUUGGGAAAACUGAAACAAAAAAACCUCUUCAGGAGCCACAAACUAGGCUCUCCCUGGUGUGAGUACAGUUUAUGCCAAAGAACAAAGUUUGUGGUCGGUGAGAUUGAAAGGUGCUUUGAAUGAAUCAGUUAAACUAGCAAAAAGCCCAGACUUCUGCGGUCACAACCUAAAGAAACAGCCUUUGGCCUCUGCCUUCCUAGCUGGUCCCAGGAGAAAUUUCCUACCUGUGCGCCUCUUAGGGAAUCUCACCCCAGGCUUGUGGCAGCCUCUGUCUGGAAAAAUCUAUUCUGGCAGAGCACAGAGCUAGCUCAGCUCCUCCCUUCUUUCCUAGACUCAGCAGAGGAGGACCCUGUUCGCUAUGGUGCCAACAACUGUGAGCAGCAGCCAAGGCAGGGGAGCCUGGGGGUGCGGAUCCUCUCCAGGAGAUCUAACAGAACUGCAAGUCUUCUCCACCAGCAGAUGGCGACUGAUAGACCACGCUAGAACAAGCCUUGCUUCAAGACCGAGGUCUGCGCAUGCUCCUUGAACACCAGGCUGCGGGCUGUUCCAGAUGUAUGCUAGAGUAAACAGCAUUGCAUUACUUCCCCGGUGUCCUCAUUUGGGACCUGAACCUCUGGUUUCUUGCUUCCAGGACAGAAGGGAGGAGCCAAGCUGACAGGAUUGCUGUGUUCUCUGCAAGAAUCAGUUGCCCAAGAUGCAGCUGUCACCUGAUUAUAAAUCUCCUAACACCUGGGGAGCAAGGCACAGGCCAUGGAUGAAGAUUUUCCCGGGUGGGGACACAAACAGGCUGAGCCUCUCCUGUUCUCCCUGGUCUAUCAACCUCACAGGCAGGUAACUGGCUCCACAGCACAAACAGCUUUCAGCAGGGGGAGGUAAAGAGAUAAGGGCGUCUUUCUCAAUUUCUCUGUUUCAGUUUCUCUGUGGUACACAGUUUAGGACAACUGUGCCUGCUUAGCGGCUUGGUGCGCUGGGGCAAGACCUUCUGCAGCCAGCUGGCUCUGCAUUUUAAAAGUCUCCCAGGCACUUAAAUCAGCCAAUCCUGGUUUGGCAACCACCACCCACCCUCCAAAAAUCACAAGCACGCUGGGGUUGGGGUGGGGAACAGUAUAAAUGUGUCAUUCCUAAAAACAGAAAGUAAAUGUUCCCACAGAAGAGGAAAUGGAGAGUCUGUCAGCAGCCAGGAAAAGGAAACCUAAGGCAGAUCAUGGCUGAGCAGAUGUAGAAGAGCCUAGACAAUUCAGUCACUGCAGGGUGAGGGCUGCUGGAUCACUGGGGAAGGUACUGGUCUGGCUUCUGAGUACUUGGGACAGGGCUCCCUGAGGAUGACCUCGUGCUGGUCCUGAUUGGACCUGGAUUUCCAGAGGACUGGAGUUCAUCUGCAUCCUGUCGGCCACAGUCAGGGAGUGGCUAAAAACACACAGACAAGCCCAGACACCACUGAGCUGCCUCCCUUCUAGCUGUGCUGGCCCUGGUCACCCUGACACCUUAAAACUGCCUGCAUUGAGCAAAGGGAAUUUCCCCUGCUGGCUCAGAAAUCUUGCAGAAACCUGGAGGCCCGGCUAAAGAGGACCUUGUGGCCAUUUACUGACAGAAAUCUGCCCCACCCAGAAGCAGCUGAUCUUGUUCUGAGACCAUAGCAGCGAGGAGCCUUUGAUCUCCAUCCUGGAUGAAUGUUAAUUCCAGAUAGAAGCCAUCCUUAGAUGGGAUGGGUGGUGGGUGUGUGGACGGCAGAUACAGAAAGGGGAUGACAGGAAGACCAACAGCAAUCCAGGCAGCAAAGCCUUGUAGUUGUCUGUAUGAGUCAGGACUACACAUAACGGGGCAAUCACACUCCGGGAUGCGUCCAGACCUGGAGACAUGUGGAACCCUCUGGUCAGGUUAUGGCUAUCCCUGCUCACCAAGUCUGGCAACUCAACAUCCAGCAGUGCCCUUGCACUAGUUAAGAAAAAGCAACUGAAUUUGCAAAAGGGAGCUGCAAUGUUGGCUGAAUGUAAGCAGCAGCAGAAUCAAUCCCAUCACUGCCAAGACACAGUUGCUGAUGCAGGAUUCUGAACUUCAGAGGAAACAAAGUAAUUCUCCCUGUGGAGACAUUGAACCUGAUCAAAGAAGCUUUGAGGAGAGAAUGAGGCUGAGAGCAGAACUGCACCAGGCCAUUCAGAAAGGGUAUCUUGAAGAGAACUCCUGGAGUUUGGUUGUAAAGCAAGGCGUGGAACCAGAAAUAACCUGAGAACUUGCUGGUGUUGCAGUCUUCCAAGAGCUGCAAGAAAUAUCCGGGUACCCAGAGGUGGUAGUGAAACUACAGCACCUCGAACACAUGCACCCUGAUUGUAAUUGAUAGCUAUAAGCAUGGAAGAUUUGUCAUUCUUUAUAAAUAUGUUGUUUCAUUCA